GGGCGAUGAACGGGACAGCCCAUCGCAGAACUGCUGGCCAUCCCGGUCAUGCGGAAUGUUGCGUUUGGAAGGAUCUCUUGCCGAGGCUCGAACAACCAGUCAAAGUCCAACUUGACAGUGGCCACUGCCCAUAGAGGGUGCUAGGCCCGUAAGGCGGUUGUUUGGCUUCGCUGAUCUCUUCCCAGAGUCGGAUUGCUUGAGAGUGCAGUCCAAAGUGCGAGGUAAACUCCUCGUAAGGCUAAAUAUGAUCCCUAGACCGAUAGCAAACAAGUACAGUGAUGGAAAUUUGAAAAGAACUUUGAAGAGAGAGUUAACAGUACGUGAAACUGUGCGGCAGUAAACACAGCCUUCCUCGAAGUUGUCCGGGGAGACCCAGCCUUAGGGCGUGUCGGCUCUUGGCACCUGAUCAGCAAUGACUGGUGUCGGGGUCGUUCGGCGCGCCCGCGGGUGCAUCUAUCCCCGGAUUUACGGCAGGAACUGUUGGGACUGGACCAAGGGCCUGGGAAGAAGUUUUCGCUCCGGCGUCAGCUCCCGGUGUCCCGGCUUCGGACCCGACAGGCCUUGUGGUCGACUUGUACAGCAAGCAACGCUUCUGUUGCGGUCGGCCCUUCCCUGUCGAGUAGGUCGGCGGAGGCUGUGACCCGUCUUGAAACACGGACC
rnacentral:rRNA from 1 species